AUGCUCGCUUUCACGGACUCCAGUCCAGCAGGAGCUAGACAUGGAUUCCGGAGUCUCAAUACAACCUUUUUAUGCCACUCACUCACAGAACAGAUGCCUAUUCACCGGCUGCAUGGUUCCAACAGAGGAGAGGUUAGGAGAGAGAGCCUGCCAGAUGCAAGAGAGAUCCAGUGCAUGAUGUUCUGUCAGCCCAAAUGGAGACAAGGAAUCGACCUGCCAUCUUUGUUCUCUGUCCACCAUCUACAACUUCUGGGGAAGGAGUUUCCUCUCCUUGCAAUUCCUUCCAAAGGGAAAAACAGCAAAUCUCAGUCCCCAGCCUCUCCGGGCAUCGCCUUUCCUUCCAGGAUCAUGUGACUCAUUAGAAACUGGGUGGUCAGAUAAUAGAGGCCUAACUCAACGCUGUUAUCUCACCGACUCUCACCUCCUCUGGAUGCCAAAGGGUGAGUGUAGCAUACACUGAGAGAUGGCACAUCUUUAGCUCUGAACAAAGGGCUGCCUAGAGACUGCUGUCACAUUUCAGAGGAGAGCACUUUUAUCCCUGGAGAUGGGGUUGAAGUUCUAGUGUGAAGAGAUGGGAGGGAGACUGGGGUCAUGGCCACCCUCCCUUAGGCCCCAUCAGACUGCACAGAUGGCUGCUUUGAUGAGCUAUCUUUUGAGGGCAGAAGCUGUACCUUAUUUAUCAGUGUGUCACAGUUCUUGGUACAUAGAUGGUGCUGGAUGGACGAUGAAAACCAGAACAGGCCUGAGUGAUUGACAGCUCCCAGUAGCCCCUGGGCAGCAUGGUACCUCAGUGGCUAUGCGCUUAUGAGGGCUACUCCAUACAUGCUCUCAUCCAUGAUGCUAUUUUGUUUUUGUUUAUUUCUGAGAGAGAGUCUCACUCUGUAGCCCUGGUUAUCCUGGAGCUAUCUAUGAAGACCAGACUGGAUUCUACUUUGUUUAUCAAAAGUCUUAGAAAUUAGGCAAAGAACAUCCCCAGCUGCACUUUCAUGAAGGAAUGCCUUCUAAAUCAAUUGGGAAAAACAAGAAAACCACUCUAAUUCUCCUGUGAGCACCAAGCUUGACCACCAACAUAGAAACACCAGGGGUUUGAAGGACACUGCUGACAUCCGUCCAGAGCAUCAACCAAACAAAGUUGAAGGUUAAGGUUGACACUUUUGGGAACAAUGACAAAGGUACACAGAUGCUGUUCACUGUGGCUGUUGUAUUAUUAUGAAUGUUUGGAACCUCAUCGGGUACUGUGAAUUAUUGUUGUAGGAAAAUAAAUAGCAAUAAGUGUAUAUACA
rnacentral:lncRNA from 1 species